rnacentral:rRNA from 1 species
GGGCCCGCACAAGCGGUGGAGUAUGUGGUUUAAUUCGAUGCAACGCGAAGAACCUUACCAGGGUUUGACAUCCUGCGAAUUUCUGGGAAACCGGAAAGUGCCUUCGGGAGCGCAGUGACAGGUGGUGCAUGGCUGUCGUCAGCUCGUGUCGUGAGAUGUUGGGUUAAGUCCCGCAACGAGCGCAACCCACGUCUUUAGUUGCCAUCGGUUCGGCCGGGCACUCUAGAGAAACUGCCUGCGAUGAGCAGGAGGAAGGCGGGGAUGACGUCAAGUCCUCAUGGCCCUUAUGGACUGGGCUACACACGUGCUACAAUGGCGGUGACAAUGGGCAGCGACAGGGCGACCUGAAGCAAAUCCCUAAAAGCCGUCCCAGUUCGGAUUGUACUCUGCAACUCGAGUGCAUGAAGUUGGAAUCGCUAGUAAUCGCGGAU